rnacentral:tRNA from 3 species
GCCCCUGUGGCGGAAUUGGUAGACGCGCCGGAUUCAAAAUCCGGUUCCCGCAAGGGAGUGCGAGUUCGAUUCUCGCUGGGGGCACCA